rnacentral:rRNA from 1 species
GUUAUAUGGUCAAGCGAAUAAGCGCACACGGUGGAUGCCUUGGCGGUCAGAGGCGAUGAAGGACGUGGCAGCCUGCGAAAAGUAUCGGGGAGCUGGCAACAAGCUUUGAUCCGGUAAUGUCCGAAUGGGGAAACCCACCCGCUUGCGGGUAUCCUGCAGUGAAUACAUAGCUGCUGGAAGCGAACCUGGUGAACUGAAAUAUCUAAGUAACCAGAGGAAAAGAAAUCAACCGAGAUUCCGUAAGUAGCGACGAGCGAACGCGGACUAGCCCUUAAGCUGGAUUGGUUCUAGGAAAAUGCUCUGGAAAGAGUAGCCAUAGAAGGUGAUAGCCCUGUAUCUGAAAGGGCCAUUUCAGUGAAGACGAGUAGGGCGGGGCACGUGAAACCCUGUCUGAACAUGGGGGGACCAUCCUCCAAGGCUAAAUACUACUGACCGACCGAUAGUGAACCAGUACCGUGAGGGAAAGGCGAAAAGAACCCCGGAGAGGGGAGUGAAAUAGAACCUGAAACCGUGUGCGUACAAGCAGUAGGAGCUCCGCAAGGAGUGACUGCGUACCUUUUGUAUAAUGGGUCAGCGACUUACUGUUCGUGGCAAGCUUAACCGUAUAGGGGAGGCGAAGGGAAACCGAGUCUGAUAAGGGCGCAUAGUCGCGGGCAGUAGACCCGAAACCGGGUGAUCUAGUCAUGCCCAGGGUGAAGGUGCGGUAACACGCACUGGAGGCCCGAACCCACUCCCGUUGCAAAGGUAGGGGAUGAGGUGUGAUUAGGAGUGAAAAGCUAAUCGAACCCGGAGAUAGCUGGUUCUCCUCGAAAGCUAUUUAGGUAGCGCCUCAUAUGUAUCCUCUCGGGGGUAGAGCACUGUUAUGGCUAGGGGGUCAUCGCGACUUACCAAACCAUUGCAAACUCCGAAUACCGAGACGGACUGUAUGGGAGACACACGGCGGGUGCUAACGUCCGUCGUGAAAAGGGAAACAACCCAGACCCACAGCUAAGGUCCCAAAUUUUGUGCUAAGUGGAAAACCAUGUGGAAAGGCACAGACAGCCAGGAGGUUGGCUUAGAAGCAGCCACCCUUUAAAGAAAGCGUAAUAGCUCACUGGUCGAGUCGGUCUGCGGGGAAGAUUUAACGGGGCUAAGCACAGAACCGAAGCUUGGGGUGCAUAACUUUGUUAUGCGCGGUAGAGGAGCGUUCCGUAAGCCGUUGAAGGUGGAUUGAGAAGUCUGCUGGAGGUAUCGGAAGUGCGAAUGCUGACAUGAGUAACGAUAAUGCGGGUGAAAAACCCGCACGCCGAAAGCCCAAGGUUUCCUUGCGCAACGUUAAUCGGCGCAGGGUGAGUCGGCCCCUAAGGCGAGGACGAAAGUCGUAGUCGAUGGGAAGCAGGUUAAUAUUCCUGCACCUCGCGUAAGUGCGAUGGAGGGACGGAGAAGGUUAGGUGUACCAGGCGUUGGUUGUCCUGGGGAAAGGCGGUAGGUUUGGAUCUUUGGCAAAUCCGGGAUCCUUUAAGACCGAGCACCGAGACGAGCCUUUAUGGCGAAGUCACUGAUACCACGCUUCCAGGAAAAGCUCCUAAGCUUCAGCUUACGCAGACCGUACCGUAAACCGACACAGGUGGGUAGGAUGAGAAUUCUCAGGCGCUUGAGAGAACUCGGGUGAAGGAACUAGGCAACAUGGCACCGUAACUUCGGGAGAAGGUGCACCCUUUUUGGUGGCUCGUGCGAGCUAUAGCUGAAGAGGGUCGCAGUAACCAGGCCGCUGCGACUGUUUAUCAAAAACACAGCACUCUGCAAACACGAAAGUGGACGUAUAGGGUGUGACGCCUGCCCGGUGCUGGAAGGUUAAUUGAUGGGGUCAGCCGCAAGGCGAAGCUCUUGAUCGAAGCCCCAGUAAACGGCGGCCGUAACUAUAACGGUCCUAAGGUAGCGAAAUUCCUUGUCGGGUAAGUUCCGACCUGCACGAAUGGCGUAACGACAGCGGCGCUGUCUCCACCCGAGACUCAGUGAAAUUGAAAUCGCUGUGAAGAUGCAGCGUUCCCGUGGCAAGACGGAAAGACCCCGUGAACCUUUACUAUAGCUUUACACUGAACGUUGAGUUCGUCUGUGUAGGAUAGGUGGGAGGCUAUGAAACUGUGGCGCUAGCUGCAGCGGAGCCAUCCUUGAAAUACCACCCUGUCGUGCUUGACGUUCUAACCUGGGCCCAUUAUCUGGGUCGGGGACCGUGUAUGGUGGGUAGUUUGACUGGGGCGGUCUCCUCCUAAAGAGUAACGGAGGAGCUCGAAGGUACGCUCAGCGCGGUCGGACAUCGCGCACUGUGUGCAAAGGCAUAAGCGUGCUUGACUGCAAGAUCGACGGAUCAAGCAGGUAGGAAACUAGGACUUAGUGAUCCGGUGGUUCUGUAUGGAAGGGCCAUCGCUCAACGGAUAAAAGGUACUCCGGGGAUAACAGGCUGAUACCGCCCAAGAGUUCAUAUCGACGGCGGUGUUUGGCACCUCGAUGUCGGCUCAUCACAUCCUGGGGCUGUAGUCGGUCCCAAGGGUAUGGCUGUUCGCCAUUUAAAGUGGUACGCGAGCUGGGUUCAGAACGUCGUGAGACAGUUCGGUCCCUAUCUGCCAUGGGCGUUGGAGAUUUGAGAGGGGCUGCUCCUAGUACGAGAGGACCGGAGUGGACGAACCUCUGGUGUUCCGGUUGUCACGCCAGUGGCAUUGCCGGGUAGCUAUGUUCGGAAGCGAUAACCGCUGAAAGCAUCUAAGCGGGAAGCGCGCCUCAAGAUGAGAUCUCCCGGGGCACAAGCCCCCUGAAGGAACCAUGUAGACUACGUGGUUGAUAGGUCAGGUGUGUAAGUACAGCAAUGUAUUGAGCUAACUGAUACUAAUGAUCCGUGCGGCUUGACCAUAUAACCU